AACGUAGGGGGCGAGCGUUAUCCGGAAUCACUGGGCGUAAAGGGCGUCUAGGCGGUCCAGUAAGUCCUGCGUGAAAGCUCCCGGCUCAACUGGGAGAGCGCGUGGGAGACUGUUGGGCUAGAGACGCGGAGAGGGGUGUGGAAUUCCCGGUGGAGUGGUGAAAUGCGUUGAGAUCGGGAGGAACACCAGUGGCGAAGGCGGCACCCUGGCCGAGUUCUGACGCUGAAGCGCGACAGCGUGGGGAGCAAACGGG
rnacentral:rRNA from 1 species